AGCACGCGCCCCGUCCGCUGCAGUCCGCCGGCGAGGGAGUUACGCACGUCCUGAUUCUCCUGGAGUCUCCAGCCCGCCCAGUGGCCGCAGUCACCCAGGUCCAGAGGCGGCGGUAUCACAGGCUCUCCGACAUGUCUAUGCUGGCUGAACGUCGGCGGAAGCAGAAGUGGGCUGUGGAUCCUCAGAACACUGCUUGGAGUAAUGACGAUUCCAAGUUUGGCCAGCGGAUGCUAGAGAAGAUGGGGUGGUCUAAAGGAAAGGGUUUAGGGGCUCAGGAGCAAGGAGCCACAGAUCAUAUUAAAGUUCAAGUGAAAAAUAACCACCUGGGACUCGGAGCUACCAUCAAUAAUGAAGACAACUGGAUUGCCCAUCAGGAUGAUUUUAACCAGCUUCUGGCCGAACUGAACACUUGCCAUGGGCAGGAAACCACAGAUUCCUCGGACAAGAAGGAAAAGAAAUCUUUUAGCCUUGAGGAAAAGUCCAAAAUCUCCAAAAACCGUGUUCACUAUAUGAAAUUCACAAAAGAUCAAAUCCAGAGCAAGGCCUGUAACAAUCCUGGUUUCUACAUUUACUUAAGUGAACUUUGCUAAAGGCUAAAAAUUUCUGAUACAAGAAUCCAUCAUCAAAACUUUAGACACAUUUGCACCUUCAUUGAUAUAGCUUACUGUCUCUACCAGCUUGACAGUUUUCCCUUUGACUUUCAGAUCUGUUUUGAAUCUGUGUGUUCACAUUUUGACAUCAUGUUUUAGAACUGUGAUCUCGCAUGUACCCUCUCUUCCUUAAUCCCUCC
rnacentral:misc_RNA from 1 species